rnacentral:rRNA from 1 species
UACGAGGGGGGCGAGCGUUGUUCGGAAUUAUUGGGCGUAAAGGGCGCGUAGGCGAUUGGAUAAGUCUUGUGUGAAAUCUUCGGGCUCAACUCGAAGUCUGCACGAGAAACUAUCUGGCUUGAGUGUGGGAGAGGUGAGUGGAAUUCCUGGUGUAGCGGUGAAAUGCGUAGAUAUCAGGAGGAACACCUGUGGCGAAAGCGGCUCACUGGACCAUAACUGACGCUGAUGCACGAAAGCUAGGGGAGCAAACAGG